GUGGGGAAUCUUCCGCAAUGGGCGAAAGCCUGACGGAGCAACGCCGCGUGAGUGAUGACGGCCUUCGGGUUGUAAAGCUCUGUUAUAUGGGACGAACGGGCAUGGGGCGAAUACCCUCAUGCAGUGACGGUACCGUAAGAGAAAGUCACGGCUAACUACGUGCCAGCAGCCGCGGUAAUACGUAGGUGGCAAGCGUUGUCCGGAAUUAUUGGGCGUAAAGGGCGUGUAGGCGGCCAGACAAGUCUGUCUUAAAAGUGCGGGGCUCAACCCCGUGAUGGGAUGGAAACUGUCGGGCUAGAGUGUCGGAGAGGAAAGCGGAAUUCCUAGUGUAGCGGUGAAAUGCGUAGAUAUUAGGAGGAACACCAGUGGCGAAAGCGGCUUUCUGGACGACAACUGACGCUGAGGCGCGAAAGCCAGGGGAGCAAACGGGAUUAGAAACCCGAGUAGUCC
rnacentral:rRNA from 1 species